rnacentral:rRNA from 1 species
AGUGAACGCUGGCGGUAGGCCUAACACAUGCAAGUCGAACGGCAGCACAGUAAGAGCUUGCUCUUACGGGUGGCGAGUGGCGGACGAGUGAGGAAUACAUCGGAAUCUACUUUUUCGUGGGGGAUAACGUAGGGAAACUUACGCUAAUACCGCAUACGACCUACGGGUGAAAGCAGGGGAUCUUCGGACCUUGCGCGAUUGAAUGAGCCGAUGUCGGAUUAGCUAGUUGGCGGGGUAAAGGCCCACCCAGGCGACGAUCCGUAGCUGGUCUGAGAGGAUGAUCGGCCACACUGGAACUGAGACACGGUCCAGACUCCUACGGGAGGCAGCAGUGGGGAAUAUUGGACAAUGGGCGCAAGCCUGAUCCAGCCAUACCGCGUGGGUGAAGAAGGCCUUCGGGUUGUAAAGCCCUUUUGUUGGGAAAGAAAAGCAGCAGGUUAAUACCCCGCUGUUCUGACGGUACCCAAAGAAUAAGCACCGGCUAACUUCGUG